GCCAGAGGGGGCAAGCGUUGCUCGGAAUCACUGGGCGUAAAGGGCGCGUAGGCGGGAUGGCAAGUCGGUCGUGAAAUCCUUCGGCUCAACCGAAGAACGUCGGCCGAUACUGCCGUUCUUGAGGGAUGCAGAGGAGAUUGGAAUUCCCGGUGUAGCGGUGAAAUGUGUAGAGAUCGGGAGGAACACCGGUGGCGAAGGCGGGUCUCUGGGCAUCUCCUGACGCUGAGGCGCGAAAGCGUGGGGAGCAAACGGG
rnacentral:rRNA from 1 species